rnacentral:rRNA from 1 species
UACAGAGGUCCCAACCGUUGUUCGGAUUCAUUGGGCGUAAAGGGUGCGUAGGCGGCGGUGCAAGUCAGGUGUGAAAUCUCGGGGCUCAACCCCGAAACUGCACUUGAUACUGCCUUGCUAGAGUACUGGAGAGGAGAUUGGAAUUUACGGUGUAGCAGUGAAAUGCGUAGAUAUCGUAAGGAAGACCAGUGGCGAAGGCGAAUCUCUGGACAGUUACUGACACUGAGGCACGAAGGCCAGGGGAGCAAACGGG